GAUAGUGGGGGAUAACCUGGGGAAACCCAGGCUAAUACCGCAUACGUCCUACGGGAGAAAGGGGGCUUCGGCUCCCGCUAUCGGAUGAGCCUAUGUCGGAUUAGCUGGUUGGUGAGGUAACGGCUCACCAAGGCGACGAUCCGUAGCUGGUCUGAGAGGAUGAUCAGCCACAUCGGGACUGAGACACGGCCCGAACUCCUACGGGAGGCAGCAGUGGGGAAUAUUGGACAAUGGGGGGAACCCUGAUCCAGCCAUGCCGCGUGUGUGAAGAAGGCCCUCGGGUUGUAAAGCACUUUCAGUGAGGAAGAACGCCUGGUGGUUAAUACCCAUCAGGAAAGACAUCACUCACAGAAGAAGCACCGGCUAACUCCGUGCCAGCAGCCGCGGUAAUACGGAGGGUGCGAGCGUUAAUCGGAAUUACUGGGCGUAAAGCGCGCGUAGGUGGCUUGAUAAGCCGGUUGUGAAAGCCCCGGGCUCAACCUGGGAACGGCAUCCGGAACUGUCAAGCUAGAGUGCAGGAGAGGAAGGUAGAAUUCCCGGUGUAGCGGUGAAAUGCGUAGAGAUCGGGAGGAAUACCAGUGGCGAAGGCGGCCUUCUGGACUGACACUGACACUGAGGUGCGAAAGCGUGGGUAGCAAACAGGAUUAGAUACCCUGGUAGUCCACGCCGUAAACGAUGUCGAUCGGAAAUUACUGGGCGUAAAGCGCGCGUAGGUGGCUUGAUAAGCCGGUUGUGAAAGCCCCCGGGCUCAACCUGGGAACGGCAUCCGGAACUGUCAAGCUAGAGUGCAGGAGAGGAAGGUAGAAUUCCCGGUGUAGCGGUGAAAUGCGUAGAGAUCGGGAGGAAUACCAGUGGCGAAGGCGGCCUUCUGGACUGACACUGACACUGAGGUGCGAAAGCGUGGGUAGCAAACAGGAUUAGAUACCCUGGUAGUCCACGCCGUAAACGAUGUCGACCAGCCGUUGGGUGCCUAGCGCACUUUGUGGCGAAGUUAACGCGAUAAGUCGACCGCCUGGGGAGUACGGCCGCAAGGUUAAAACUCAAAUGAAUUGACGGGGGCCCGCACAAGCGGUGGAGCAUGUGGUUUAAUUCGAUGCAACGCGAAGAACCUUACCUACUCUUGACAUCCUGCGAAUUCGGUAGAGAUACCUUAGUGCCUUCGGGAACGCAGAGACAGGUGCUGCAUGGCUGUCGUCAGCUCGUGUUGUGAAAUGUUGGGUUAAGUCCCGUAACGAGCGCAACCCUUGUCCUUAUUUGCCAGCGCGUAAUGGCGGGAACUCUAAGGAGACUGCCGGUGACAAACCGGAGGAAGGUGGGGACGACGUCAAGUCAUCAUGGCCCUUACGAGUAGGGCUACACACGUGCUACAAUGGUCGGUACAAAGGGUUGCCAACUCGCGAGAGUGAGCCAAUCCCGAAAAGCCGAUCUCAGUCCGGAUCGGAGUCUGCAACUCGACUCCGUGAAGU
rnacentral:rRNA from 1 species